GCACUGAUAGUUUAGUGGUAGAAUUCACGCUUCCCAUAAAAUGAGACUGUGUGAGGCAGGAGUUCGAUUCCCCUUCAGUGCA